UUUGAACUUCUAGGGACGCGCCUCAGAAACGAGGCUUUCACUUCGGUGACCUUAGGAGAGGUGCUGCAUGGCUGUCGUCAGCUCGUGUCGUGAGAUGUUGGGUUAAGUCCCGCAACGAGCGCAACCCUUAGCCUUAGUUGCCAUCAGGUAAAGCUGGGAACUCUAGGGGCGACUGCCGGUGAUAAACCGGAGGAAGGUGGGGGACGACGUCAAGUCAUCAUGGCCUUUAUGCCUAGGGCUACACACGUGCUACAAUGGCCGGGGACAGAGGGCUGCGAACCCGCGAGGGGGAGCCAAUCCCAGAAACCCGGUCUCAGUUCGGAUUGAAGUCUGCAACUCGACUUCAUGAAGUUGGAAUCGCUAGUAAUCGCGGAUCAGCAAUGCCGCGGUGAAUACGUUCCCGGGCCUUGUACACACCGCCCGUCACAUCACGGAAGCCGGGUGCACUAGAAGUCGUUAACCCAACCUUUCGGGAGGGAGACGCCGACGGUGUGCUUGGUGACUGGGGUGGAAGUCGUAACAAGGUAACC
rnacentral:rRNA from 1 species